AGCUGCCGCGUAGUUUGGAUGUUCUCUGGAAGAUGGCGUCACUAGUUUUGAAUAUGAAUUUGAAGUAUAAAAUGUUUUAUUUCACUGUGGUCCACUUACCUCUAUCUACUUCUGUGAAUAUAGAGCGUAACCAUAUUUUAGUAAGACUGUAAAUUCAAUACACAUACAGAAUCAAACCAUAAUCAAUGAUAACGAUAUGCAGAAAGUAGCUCGCGUACGCACUUCCUGCAGAUAAAUCAAGUUUUCUAUGAUAUUGCCGAUGAUACAAUGAAAAUUUAUUUGUUGAUACUUCUGGCAGUUUUUUACCUGAUACACACCAGUGAAAGUGGUCUGAAAAAAG